rnacentral:rRNA from 1 species
UACAGAGGUCUCAAGCGUUGUUCGGAUUUAUUGGGCGUAAAGAGCGUGUAGGCGGCUUUGCAGGUCCGCUGUGAAAACUCGAGGCUCAACCUCGAGACGUCGGUUGAAACCAUCUGGCUAGAGUCCGGAAGAGGAGUGUGGAAUUCCCGGUGUAGCGGUGAAAUGCGCAGAUAUCGGGAAGAACACCCGUGGCGAAGGCGGCACUCUGGGACGGUACUGACGCUGAGACGCGAAAGCGUGGGGAGCGAACAGG